GGCUUAUUGAUAUUAAUUUUAAGUCUGACCUGCUCAAUGAUAAUUUAAAUAGCUGCGGUAUACUGACCGUGCAAAGGUAGCAUAAUCAUUAGUUUUUUAAUUGAAAGCUUGUAUGAAAGGUUGAAUGAAAAAAUUUCUGUCUCUAUUAAAAUUAAAAAGAAAUUUAUUUUUAAGUUAAAAAGCUUAAAUAUUCAUAAAAGACGAGAAGACCCUAUAGAAUUUUAUAAUUUAAAAUAAAAAAUUUAUUUAAGAAUUUUUGAUUUUUAUUUAAAGAUUAUUUUAUUGGGGUGAUAGAAAAAUUUAAUAAACUUUUUUUGUAYUAUUUCAUUAAUUUAUGAAUUUUUGAUCCUUAAUUUAAGAUUAUAAGAUAAAAUUACCUUAGGGAUAACAGCGUAAUUUUUUUUAGAGUUCUUAUCGAAAAAAAAGAUUGCGACCUCGAUGUUGGAUUAAAAUUGAUUAUUGGUGUAGAAGCUAAUGAGUUUGGUCUGUUCGACCAGAAAAUUUUACAUGAUCUGAGUUUAAACCGGUGUAAG
rnacentral:rRNA from 1 species